rnacentral:rRNA from 1 species
UACGAAGGGGGCUAGCGUUGUUCGGAAUUACUGGGCGUAAAGCGCACGUAGGCGGACAUUUAAGUCAGGGGUGAAAUCCCAGAGCUCAACUCUGGAACUGCCUUUGAUACUGGGUGUCUUGAGUAUGGAAGAGGUGAGUGGAAUUCCGAGUGUAGAGGUGAAAUUCGUAGAUAUUGGGAAGAACACCGGUGGCGAAGGCGGCUCACUGGCUCAUAUCUGACGCUCAGGCGCGACAGCGUGGGGAUCAAACAGG